CACGUAGGGGGCGAGCGUUGUCCGGAUUUAUUGGGCGUAAAGAGCUCGUAGGCGGUGUGUCACGUCGGCCGUGAAAACCUGCAGCUUAACUGUGGGCGUGCGGUCGAUACGGGCAUCACUGGAGUUCGGCAGGGGAGACUGGAAUUCCUGGUGUAGCGGUGAAAUGCGUAGAGAUCAUGAGGAAGACCAGUGGCGAAGGCGGGUCUCUGGACAGUUCCUGACACUGAGGCACGAAGGCCCAGGGGAGCAAACGGG
rnacentral:rRNA from 1 species